AUUGAACGCUGGCGGCAGGCCUAACACAUGCAAGUCGAGCGGAUGAAGGGAGCUUGCUCCUGGCUUCAGCGGCGGACGGGUGAGUAAUGCCUAGGAAUCUGCCUGGCAGUGGGGGAUAACGUCCGGAAACGGGCGCUAAUCCCGCAUACGUCCUGAGGGAGAAAGGGGGGGAUCUUCGGACCUCACGCUAUCAGAUGAGCCUAGGUCGGAUUAGCUAGUUGGUGGGGUAAAGGCCUACCAAGGCGACGAUCCGUAACUGGUCUGAGAGGAUGAUCAGUCACACUGGAACUGAGACACGGUCCAGACUCCUACGGGAGGCAGCAGUGGGGAAUAUUGGACAAUGGGCGAAAGCCUGAUCCAGCCAUGCCGCGUGUGUGAAGAAGGUCUUCGGAUUGUAAAGCACUUUAAGUUGGGAAGAAGAGCAGUAAGUUAAUACCUUGCUGUUUUGACGUUACCAACAGAAUAAGCACCGGCUAACUUCGUG
rnacentral:rRNA from 1 species